AUGUACACAUUACUUAGAAAUAACCCACAGCCCACCAUGGAGGACGUGACCGAGGGUCUCGCUGGUAAUUUAUGCAGAUGCACAGGGUACCGGCCCAUCGUUGACGGCUACAGAACCUUCUGUGAGAGUGAAAACUGUUGCCAGUUAA